GACGGUGCCAACGAGUCUGACCUCCUGGCCCGAAAGGGUUGGGCAAACUGGUCAAUCACCGUCAUGUCAGGGAUCGGGGCUUGGAAUUGUUCCCCGUGAACCAGGAAUUCCUAGUAAGUGCAAGUCAUAAGCUUGCGCUGAUUACGUCCCUGCCCUUUGUACACACCGCCCGUCGCUACUACCGAUUGAAUGGUUUAGUAAGGUCCUUGGAUCGGUGCCAUUGUAGUGGCUGCUGCAAGGCAUGUCCACUCGACAGGCGCUGAGAAGACGACCAAAC
rnacentral:rRNA from 1 species